rnacentral:sRNA from 1 species
ACUCAUCCUUGCGCCAAGCUACGCACUUGGGUUUGACGACGAGGGAUGCCAAUCUCGCACGAGUUCACCCGUGCUGCGAACCGUAGCGAGCAAAUUGACUCCCCUGUAGACGACACCUCUGGAGACAGAUUCACAAACAUAAGUGUCUUCGAGUCUCCUCCAAGGCAUGGCUGUCAAGUACGUUAAUUUUGAGUUCCUGAACGGAACGUGCUCCUCUUUCUUUGCAAUGGAGAAGAUUACAUCGCUCAAGCAUGAGAGGCUCUUAUUAAUAGCCUGUGUCUCCUUUAGCCUAUCUCCGGUGGCACCGCUCUUGUUAAGCCGCUCACUGCCGGCAAGAUCGAUUAGAUUGAGCACUCCUUGCACCUGCUGAUAUCGCAUACCUCAUUGACACCAAAAAUUCGAAGCGUGAACACACAAUGACUUCUAGAUGAUUCUUCGUUCAUCUGUAACUAGAGUGUAACCUGCUCUGAGCAGCCCGCUUGAGGAGAGAAGAAACUUCAUUGAUACUCGAUACAUCGACAAUUGUGAGAUCUGAUACAUGGGUAUUACCAUUGGCAUCAUGCUUGAUACUGUACUUUGAAGCGCCACCAUCUUGAACAGUUGUGCGAUUAGUGGCUAGCAGAUCACGUAUGGCUUCAUUGUAGAUUUCCAGCAUAGAUGCCUGCAUCUUAUAUUUCCAUCCCUGUGAAAUAAGAGCCUGGCUUGUUUGGAAAAUUUGUUCAAGUGAUCUCGGAAUUAAUCCUUUCUGGUCAUGCAAUUCUGGAUUUCCCAUCAUUGUGUAUGUUUUACCCGAGCCAGUUUGGCCAUAUGCAAAUAUGCACACCUGACCAUCAAGGGCGCUUUGGAUGAGUUGGGAAAUCUCAAUGAACACAUCUUCUUGUGAUGCCGACUGCUCAAAUACUUUGUCAAAUUAAGUGUUACUAUACCAUUAUGUGUCAACUCAAUGCCACGACCUAAGUUUUCUCCACUCUUUGGAUAAGCAACAGCUCCUGAUUCAUUUGGCAAUAAAGGUCGCACCCUACAGAAUACUCGAAUUUUAAGAGACAGUACGAGUAUUGUAUUAUGGAGUCUUUUCCGCAAAUUCUCUCCGUCCAAAAUUUGUUGCUCAGCUUCUUCGAGUCGUAAUUGCAGAUCCUCCAACAUUCUUUUUUGCUUCUCAUACUCAGUCAUCGUCUCCAUAGCUUUCAGUAUGCACCUUUAACUUUUCGUUAGCUGAUGCAAGCUGCAGCUCCAAUGUUUUAAUUCUCUCUGCUUGGGACGAACAUCAUACCUCAAGGGCAGUACUUCUUGUCAUGGCAUUAUCCAAUUCUGCUACCGACUUUCCAGUCAUUUCCUUGUAUGUACUUACAUCGGCCAACAAGGAAUGUAUUUCAGCUAAUUUAUGAUCACGGUCAUCCCUUACUUGCUGGAGUUCACCCCUGAGAUUAUCAACUUCCUUUAGCAAGUCGGUCUUUUGUUUUAGAGCUUCAUUUUGGGAAGACUGCAUGGAAUAGAGGCCUGCAUCUUUACAGAGUUAGCAUGGUCCUUCAAACCAUUCAUUGUUUCUACCAUAGUGUUCUUCUCUUUCUGCAGCUUUGCUAUUGUUUCACCAUUCUUCGUUGCAUCUGCCUGGAGGUUGCUGUUAUACUGCUGCAAACUAGUGUUGUAUUCUUGAAGCCUCUUAUUUCUUUUCUAGAAAGAAAGUAAGACCUGAUCAUUAAGGCGUUUUUCCUCCAACUUAAUCCUUCUAAGAUCUUCCAAAUGCUCAUUUCGGGAAGCCUCAACAGCAAUCCUUGCUUCCUUUUCAUCUCCAUAAGACCUAAGGGCAUCCUACAUUUCAAAAAUUUCCUCCACUCUCUUUAGAUUCUCCUCUAAAGAAGCAUACUGUCUCUGAAGCUCCUCAUUUAUUGCCUUUGAUUCUUCUAUUGCACUUUUCAGCUGAGCCACUAGAUGACAUAGCAUAGAUUCAGUCAGUAGAAUCAACAAGCGCACAAAGUGUCAUGAUAUGAAAUGAAAGGGUGGUACCAAUCUCAGAGUGAUGUUUCUCUGCCGCCUCAAGUAGACCAUUGAGCUUCCCAAUCUCAGCCAGGUUUGUAUCCUCCCUCUCUAGCAGCCACUUGAUGCAAGCCCGUAGCUUUUUUAUGUAUUCCAUCAUUUGCUCGCUCUUCCCCUUGUAGUCCAUCUUGUUCUUGCCCUUCAUCUUCUCGUUGAGGAGGGCGUCGACAUCGUCCCUCCCGGCGAACUCGAUGGCGGGGUCAGGGGCGGGCGGAGCGGCGUUGGCGGAGAGCGGGGCGCGGGCGGCGGACCCGGCGGCCGUGCGCUGGCGCUUGCCGGCCUGCGCGUCGGCGGCGUUCUCCUUCUGGUGGAGCAUCCCGGGGCGAGUGGCGCGCGUGGACAUGGCCGGCGAGCGGAUCUAGGGCUAGGGCGAGCGGCGGCGGAGGCGGCGGGGAGAAGAGGAGGAGAGGAUUUUGGAUUUUGGAUUUGGAUUUGGGAAUGG